AACGAACGCUGGCGGCAGGCUUAACACAUGCAAGUCGAACGCCCCGCACGGGGAGUGGCAGACGGGUGAGUAACGCGUGGGAACAUACCCUUUCCUGCGGAAUAGCUCUGGGAAACUAGAAUUAAUACCGCAUAAGCCCUACGGGGGAAAGAUUUAUCGGGGAAGGAUUGGCCCGCGUUGGAUUAGCUAGUUGGUGGGGUAAAGGCCUACCAAGGCGACGAUCCAUAGCUGGUCUGAGAGGAUGAUCAGCCACAUUGGGACUGAGACACGGCCCAAACUCCUACGGGAGGCAGCAGUGGGGAAUAUUGGACAAUGGGCGCAAGCCUGAUCCAGCCAUGCCGCGUGAGUGAUGAAGGCCUUAGGGUUGUAAAGCUCUUUCACCGAUGAAGAUAAUGACGGUAGUCGGAGAAGAAGCCCCGGCUAACUUCGUGCCAGCCGCCGCCGUAACAC
rnacentral:rRNA from 1 species